rnacentral:rRNA from 1 species
AGAGUUUGAUCAUGGCUCAGGAUGAACGCUGGCGGUCUGCUUAACACAUGCAAGUCGAACGGAGUAGAAAUACUUAGUGGCGGACGGGUGAGUAACACGUGGGCAACCUGCCCUCAGCUCUGGGAUAACUCCAAGAAAUUGGUGCUAAUACCGGAUGUGACUGCUGACCGCAUGGUCUGGUGGUGGAAAGAUUUAUCGGCUGAGGAUGGGCCCGCGGCCUAUCAGCUUGUUGGUGGGGUGAUGGCCUACCAAGGCGACGACGGGUAGCCGGCCUGAGAGGGUGACCGGCCACACUGGGACUGAGACACGGCCCAGACUCCUACGGGAGGCAGCAGUGGGGAAUAUUGGACAAUGGGCGAAAGCCUGAUCCAGCAACGCCGCGUGAGGGAUGACGGCCUUCGGGUUGUAAACCUCUUUCGACCGGGACGAAGCGCAAGUGACGGUACCGGUAGAAGAAGCACCGGCCAACUACGUGCCAGCAGCCGCGGUAAUACGUAGGGUGCGAGCGUUGUCCGGAAUUAUUGGGCGUAAAGAGCUCGUAGGCGGUGUGUCGCGUCGGUCGUGAAAACUUGGGGCUUAACCCUGAGCUUGCGGUCGAUACGGGCAUCACUGGAGUUCGGCAGGGGAGACUGGAAUUCCUGGUGUAGCGGUGAAAUGCGCAGAUAUCAGGAGGAACACCGGUGGCGAAGGCGGGUCUCUGGGCCGAUACUGACGCUGAGGAGCGAAAGCGUGGGGAGCGAACAGGAUUAGAUACCCCCGUAGUCC